rnacentral:hammerhead_ribozyme from 1 species
AGCCAUCUGACGAGUUCUAAAUAGGACGAAACGCGUGUCCUGCAU